GAUGAACGCUGGCGGCGUGCCUAAUACAUGCAAGUCGAGCGAACAGACGAGGAGCUUGCUCCUCUGACGUUAGCGGCGGACGGGUGAGUAACACGUGGAUAACCUACCUAUAAGACUGGGAUAACUUCGGGAAACCGGAGCUAAUACCGGAUAAUAUAUUGAACCGCAUGGUUCAAUAGUGAAAGACGGUUUUGCUGUCACUUAUAGAUGGAUCCGCGCCGCAUUAGCUAGUUGGUAAGGUAACGGCUUACCAAGGCGACGAUGCGUAGCCGACCUGAGAGGGUGGUCGGGCAAAAUGGAACUGAGAAAAGGGCCAGACUCCUAAGGGAGGCAGCAGUAGGGAAACUUCCGCAAAGGGCGAAAGCCUUAAGGAGCAAAGGCGCGUGAGUGAUGAAGGUCUUCGGAACGGAAAACUCUGUUAAUAGGGAAGAAAAAAUGGGUAAAGAACUAUGCAAGUCUUGAAGGUACCUAAUCAGAAAGCCACGGGUAAAUAAGUG
rnacentral:rRNA from 1 species